rnacentral:rRNA from 1 species
AGGGUUUGAUCAUGGCUCAGAUUGAACGCUGGCGGCAUGCCUAAUACAUGCAAGUCGAACGGAAACGAUGGAAGCUUGCUUCCAGGCGUCGAGUGGCGGACGGGUGAGUAAUACUUAGGAAUCUGCCUAUUAGUGGGGGACAACUCGAGGAAACUCGAGCUAAUACCGCAUACGCCCUACGGGGGAAAGCGGGGGAUCUUCGGACCUCGCGCUAAUAGAUGAGCCUAAGCCGGAUUAGCUAGUUGGUGGGGUAAAGGCCUACCAAGGCGACGAUCCGUAGCUGGUCUGAGAGGACGAUCAGCCACACUGGGACUGAGACACGGCCCAGACUCCUACGGGAGGCAGCAGUAGGGAAUAUUAGACAAUGGGCGAAAGCCUGAUCUAGCAAUGCCGCGUGUGAAGAAGGCCUGAGGGUUGUAAAGCACUUUCAAUAGUGAAGAAAAGCUUAGGGUUAAUACCCUUGAGUGUUGACGUUAACUAUACAAGAAGCACCGGCUAACUCCGUGCCAGCCGCCGCGGUAA